rnacentral:rRNA from 1 species
UACAGAGGGUGCGAGCGUUAAUCGGAAUUACUGGGCGUAAAGCGUGCGUAGACGGUUAUUUAAGUCGGGUGUGAAGGCCCCGGGCUCAACCUGGGAAUUGCAUUCGAGACUGAAUAGCUAGGGUACGGUAGAGGGAAGCGGAAUUUCCGGUGUAGCGGUGAAAUGCGUAGAUAUCGGAAGGAACAUCAGUGGCGAAAGCGGCUUCCUGGACCAGUACCGACGUUCAGGCACGAAAGCGUGGGGAGCAAACAGG